UACGAAGGGGGCUAGCGUUGCUCGGAAUUACUGGGCGUAAAGCGCACGUAGGCGGGAUGGCAAGUCGGUCGUGAAAUCCCUCGGCUCAACCGAGGAACGUCGAUCGAUACUGCUGUUCUUGAGGAUUGCGGAGGAGACUGGAAUUCCCGGUGUAGCGGUGAAAUGUGUAGAGAUCGGGAGGAACACCGGUGGCGAAGGCGGGUCUCUGGGCAAUUCCUGACGCUGAGGCGCGAAAGCGUGGGGAGCAAACGGG
rnacentral:rRNA from 1 species